GGUUUGUUAUUUUAUGCAUAUGUUAAGAUACACCAAGUGGGAAGACUGGUCUUUGACAAUAGUGUCAUGUGUCUUUUGACCACAAUAUUGUCUGUUUAAUUUCCUAAUAAUUGUUCUGUUUGGGGUUUUUUUUUUCCCAGUUUUGUAAAAACUUAAUAGCAGUAUGAUAUUAUAUAAAAUCGUUUAUUAUUGUCUUAGCAAUAAGACUAAUGCUAAAUGCAAUGGAUAUGUCCUGGUUAAUUAAUGCUCAGAUAUAAUCUAUGACAGAAGUAAUAUGAAUGAAAUAAAAAACUGUGUAACAAGUAAUGAUCCAACUUGGGUUAGUUUUUAAUUUCACGUACUCAAAAUCUUUCAGAUUGGAUUCACUGGCUAUCCCAAUGUGAUGAAACUUUCACAGAUAUUAUUUUGCUAAAUGGAUUUUGAACUUGAGGUUGUGAUUGAUUGUAUCUUUAAAUAACAAUCAGAUAGCAGCCUGGCAGCGCAAGUUUAAAUUUCUACAUAAUUUUGUCUGCUUCAAGUGUACUUCCUGCUAAUAAUUAUGGAAUCAGUUUCAAAAGCCAUUUUGAUUUUAAUUUGAUUUUUGUUUUGUUUUUUUUGUUAGCUUUGGUCAAGGUUUCUUAUAGUUUAUUUUGGUUUAAGUUUAACUUGGUUUUCUUUGUUUGAAGUUCCGAACAGAGUCAUUUUGAAGGUUUAGAUCACAAGUUCAUCCAUCUUUGGUUUGCAUUGUUUUAUACUGCUUUUGUUAAAUUGUCUUAUAAUCAAUAAAGUCAUUUUUUAUUUUUGUUUGAGAAACCUA